AUUGAACGCUGGCGGCAGGCCUAACCCAUGCAAGUCGAGCGGAUGAGAAGAGCUUGCUCUUCGAUUCAGCGGCGGACGGGUGAGUAAUGCCUAGGAAUCUGCCUGGUAGUGGGGGACAACGUCUCGAAAGGGACGCUAAUACCGCAUACGUCCUACGGGAGAAAGCAGGGGACCUUCGGGCCUUGCGCUAUCAGAUGAGCCUAGGUCGGAUUAGCUUGUUGGUGAGGUAAUGGCUCACCAAGGCGACGAUCCGUAACUGGUCUGAGAGGAUGAUCAGUCACACUGGAACUGAGACACGGUCCAGACUCCUACGGGAGGCAGCAGUGGGGAAUAUUGGACAAUGGGCGAAAGCCUGAUCCAGCCAUGCCGCGUGUGUGAAGAAGGUCUUCGGAUUGUAAAGCACUUUAAGUUGGGAGGAAGGGCAGUCAGCGAAUACCUGGUUGUUUUGACGUUACCGACAGAAUAAGCACCGGCUAACUCUGUGCCAGCAGCCGCAGUAAGAC
rnacentral:rRNA from 1 species